rnacentral:rRNA from 1 species
GACGAACGCUGGCGGCGUGCUUAACACAUGCAAGUCGAACGGAAAGGCCCUGCUUUUGUGGGGUGCUCGAGUGGCGAACGGGUGAGUAACACGUGAGUAACCUGCCCUUGACUUUGGGAUAACUUCAGGAAACUGGGGCUAAUACCGGAUAGGAGCUCCUGCUGCAUGGUGGGGGUUGGAAAGUUUCGGCGGUUGGGGAUGGACUCGCGGCUUAUCAGCUUGUUGGUGGGGUAGUGGCUUACCAAGGCUUUGACGGGUAGCCGGCCUGAGAGGGUGACCGGCCACAUUGGGUCUGAGAUACGGCCCAGACUCCUACGGGAGGCAGCAGUGGGGAAUAUUGCACAAUGGGCGGAAGCCUGAUGCAGCAACGCCGCGUGCGGGAUGACGGCCUUCGGGUUGUAAACCGCUUUCUCCUGUGACGAAGCGUGAGUGACGGUAAUGGGUAAAGAAGCACCGGCUAACUACGUG